rnacentral:rRNA from 1 species
UACGUAGGGGGCUAGCGUUGUCCGGAAUCAUUGGGCGUAAAGCGCGUGUAGGCGGUCCGGUAAGUCCGCUGUGAAAGUCGGGGGCUCAACCCUCGAAUGCCGGUGGAAACUGUCGGCCUAGAGUACGGAAGAGGCGAGUGGAAUUCCUGGUGUAGCGGUGAAAUGCGCAGAUAUCAGGAGGAACACCAAUUGCGAAGGCAGCUCGCUGGGACGUUACUGACGCUGAGACGCGAAAGCGUGGGGAGCAAACAGG